AUUUAUUUAUAUAUUUAUUUUUAUCCUGACUUUAUAAAGAUACCAGUAUCAAAACCAGUUACAAUAAUACAAAGUUACAGAAGUUACAAAUGAUAAAAGAUGAAGAUUAAAGAAACCUCAACCCAACACCACAGAUAAUUGAUUUAUUAUGUAAGAGUAGCAGCAGUACAAUCCAGUGAGAGACAGAUCAGCUCAACUCUGCCUUCCUUUUCUAUUCUGUACUGGAGAGAUGUGCUGCUGCUACUUGCUUGCAUUCACCAGCCAGUUCUUCAUACUGUAACUGCUAAUAUAAAAUGUCGUGCGUUCAUGUUUUCAGUGUGUAUGUCAUGUGUUCCUGCUUUUUAGGAGGAUUCAAUGUAUGAGUAAUAGAGUACAAUUUAAAAAAGUUUAAAGAAUAUUUGACAUAUAUUCAGUUAUGUAUUUUCAUUACAAAAAAUAUGUGAGGCCAGGUGUGGUUUCCUGUAACACAAGAAACUAAUGGUGAGAGGAAGCCUGCUCUUCUAUGUGUGCAUUGGAAUUUGAGACUUCCUUUAGACUUUUGUUUGGGUGUGGCUCAUGCGUCUCACCCAGGUGGGUGUUGUUCUGCAAAAGUUCCAUCAGUAUCACAUUUUAUUUAAUCUGUCCAAAGCUAGCUAACUUUGUGAAAUUAGGGACCUAUUUUCUUCAAAUUCUGUCACAGCUGUAUUCUUGGUAUUCUUGGUCAAAUUUGGUUGUCCUCUGAAAAAUAAAUGUUAACUAAAACCAUUUCAGACACACAUAAUUGUUGUUGUUGUUGUUGUAAAAACUUCUGUGGUUUGCAGAGCCAAACAAUGUUGUUUUCAUUCCUUUUUUUUUUGACAGGAAUGUUUAAUGUGACUCCUCAGAAACUGGAAAAGAGAAAUGCUCCUGCCCAUUUACAGUAAUGUAAACAAUGUGACGCAGGUUGUGGAGUCUGCCAUGUUCCUUAAAGAGCUCUCCUGGAGUUUUCUGGUGCACACUGGGUUUUGGAGGAAGGAGCUGUGCCUGGUGCAGCACCAGCUGCUAUGUGCCUUCUCGCUUAGCCUGAGGAUCACAGGGGAGUGCUCUGCUUUGAUUGAACUCAUUGAAUGAAAUAGAGACGCCCCUUCAGAGCUCGAAAACAAUAAAGUACCAGGCUUUCCCAUCUGGAAGUUGAUCUGAAGAGUUAAAACUAUUUAUUAGAUGAUUUUGUAUACAACCACUAAUUUUCAAGACCUCCAUAAUAUCUUAUUUAGGUCUAAGUGAUGGAAAAAAAACAACAACAACAACAACAACAACAACAACAACAACAAAAAAAAACCCAGAUGUUCUUGUUUUUAUUUGUAUAUACAUCUGGAGGCCUGAGUUUGAAUCUUAAUCCCUUAGAGCCAAGCAUGUGAGGCUGGGUGGGAAAACAUCACAUUUACCAUUGCUUGUGCAAAGACUGCUCUGUGAAAUAAAAUAUAAGACUUCAAUCUCCAGUGCUGCCAAUCCAGCACGUUCCAUGAGCACAAAUUAAGCAUGAAAGUACUUUCACUGAUGAUAGAUUGGGAGCUGCACGCCAACAUGUUACUUUCUGUAAUCUCUGCAAACCUCCCUACUCAACUCUUUCAGGUAAAUUUGCAUCCCUACUAACAGUCAUACAGAAUCUAUUUAUUUAUUUAUUUAUUUGUCAUGAGUUUGAACUCCCAGCACUUGUGGAGAUUAGGAACCAGAAAGUAGCAACAGCAUCCCAUACAUAUCGGUCAUAUCGGUCCACUUUUAAGAAUCAACCGCUUAUGAAUCAAAUAAUUUGGGAUGGAUGUGAUUCUUAUAAACUGAGUACACUGUACCAAAUCCUGUGUGUUGUGAAAAUAUAAGUAUUAUAAAAAAUACAGUAUUUUGGUAUUGCAUUGUAACUGAUACAUUUUUUAAUUGUCACAAGGAAAACAUGCGUGUAUAUAUAGUAGCAACAGUACAAGCUUUCCUACCAAUAAAAAGGCCAUAAACAAGGUUUCCGAAAUGAACCCAUAUUGACAAUGAAAGUAAAGAUCCGGCAGGUAAAAUAAUACCUGAAUUAAUUAAUUUAUAUACAAAAAGGUACACAUUUUAUUUCUAUCUAUUAAAAAAAAAAAAAGUACAAUAUGGUAUAAUCAGAAUACUGAAUGGCCAUUCAUGGUAUACUUGCUCCUCUCGGGUCUUGUGAUUUACUGUGAGUCCCUUCUGCAGCAAAUAAAACCAGGAUACCAGGAAUGAUCAUUCAGGAUAUUAAUAUAUAUUUUUAAAUUACGUAUAUAAUUUUAUAUAUGAAGUUCACAAAGACGAGA